GCAAGUCGAGCGCUCACCUUCGGGUGGGAGCGGCGGACGGGUUAGUAACGCGUGGGAAUAUACCCUUCUCUACGGAAUAGCCUCGGGAAACUGAGAGUAAUACCGUAUACGCCCUUCGGGGGAAAGAUUUAUCGGAGGAGGAUUAGCCCGCGUUGGAUUAGAUAGUUGGUGGGGUAAUGGCCUACCAAGUCUACGAUCCAUAGCUGGUUUGAGAGGAUGAUC
rnacentral:rRNA from 1 species